AACCCACCAAUAUAGUCAAGUAAACUAUGUAUUUUAGAAUUCGACCUAAUUUGAUACGUUUUUAACUCUUAGCACUUACCUAAAAGUGCAGAGGGAUCCACCAGUGUUUGAGUUAAAAAUUGAAUGCAGAGAAAACAAGCGAUGCGUAAAACCAAGUACCAAGAUGAUUCCUGACUUAAAAGCUGGAUUCGUUUUUCAAGAUUUCAACAGAACCUAUUUUUAUAGUAGCGUUCCGAAAAUGUACUGGGAUGCUUUUGCGCACUGCUGCUCCAUGGGAAUGCACAUGGCUACAAUUGACACAAGGGAGGAACUGUUGAAUAUUGAAAGCAUUCAAUACAGAAAUUUAACCUUCAAGGAAUUUAUCAAUCGAAGGAUUAUGUUCAUAUCAACAUUCUACACGACAAAAAAUGGCAGUUUUUGGUGUUCGAAUGACAAGCCUAUUGACUUGAACUCAAUACCUCUGUGUGUGAACGAUCCAGACAAUGCCUUUCCCCCAGAAACAGUGAUUAGUUAUUUCAAUUUGCGUUCAGACACAUGUUUGGGAGAUAGCAAUGCAUUGACACCAUGGCACUACGUCUGUCAAUCACCUUGAAAAGCUCUUCUGAUAUUAAGAGAAUGGAGAGUUAAGAUGAACUACUACUUUUAUGCAAUUAAAUCAUUCAUCAAGGA